rnacentral:rRNA from 1 species
CCCUUAGAUGUUCUGGGCCGCACGCGCGCUACACUGACGGAGGCAGCGAGCAUGUCCUUCGCCGAGAGGUGUGGGGAAUCUUGUGAGUCUCCGUCGUGCUGGGGAUAGAUGGUUGCAAUUGUCGAUCUUGAACGAGGAAUUCCUAGUAAGCGCGAGUCAUCAGCUCGCGCUGAUUACGUCCCUGCCCUUUGUACACACCGCCCGUCGCUCCUACCGAUUGAAUGGUCCGGUGAAGCGCUCGGACCGCGGCCUCUUGACGGUUCGCUGUCGAUUGGCUGUGGGAAGUUCGUUAAACCUUAUCAUUUAGAGGAAGGAGAAGUCGUAACA